UCUCGGACCUCGGCCGCCGGGCCGCGCGCUGACCGACAGCCCCUGCUAGGCCCAGCAGGUCCCCUAGUCCCUCGCAGUCCCCCGAGACUCGCCGAGCGCCGUUGCUGAGCCCUGCAAAUAGCAGCUACCUGCUUCAGCCUAGAUCCUGCCAUGAAGUGGGCUGCUGCUCCGUGGCUCCCACUCUGAUCUGCUUUUCACUCUUGCCUUGUCUCCCAAUUAAUAAGCAUUGUGUGCCCGUAGCAACAGCGGGUGAAUCCAACAAAGUUAAAAAGAAAAAGUACUGGAGUUCGCAUGAAGGUUGAUUGCCCUAGAGAAGUCGACACGCUCACACAGAUGGAAAUUAUUUCACCGACUCCUGAAAAAUGUGGUCGUCAGCCCCACAUACAAACCACGACUUGUGUUUUCUUUAAGAUGAGGAGUCUGGUCAAGAGGUCUGUGUAAUGAAAGAUGUUUGUAGAAUCCA
rnacentral:sRNA from 1 species